GAUGCAUGAAGAAUGUUUACAAGUGAGAAGAAAGACUAGUUGAUAUUUGGUCACAAAUGGGAUAAGAACCCAAAAUCAUUGCUUUGUGGUAGUGAAUGGCUUUUAUAAAGUUAUUUUGGGUUAUAAUAUGUUAUAAUACAAUGAAUUUGAUUGAUUACAAGUGCUAGAGAUGCAUGAAGAAUGUUUAAAAGUGAGAAGAAAGACUUAUUGAUAUUUGGUCCCAAAUGGGAUAAGAACCCAAAACCAUUGCUUUCAGGCAGUGAAUGGCUUGUAUAAAGUUAUUUUGGGUUAGAAUAUUUUAUAAUACAAUGAAUAUGAUUGAUU
rnacentral:lncRNA from 1 species